GGGCGGAUGUGCAAUCUUCACCUGUUUAUUCGGUAGAGGGUGCCAUCUUCAGGUAGCCCUUCACGUUGUACAGAAAACAAUGGAGACUUCUCCUCCUGGGGCAGAUGUUGCACGUGAGGCAAGUAAGGCACUGGUCUCAUAUAUGCAACUGGUGACCAGACAUCUCCAGCAGAAUGACCCAUGGCCCAUGGGCACCUCAAACUCAACAUGUCAGAAAGUGAAUUCUGUCAGGUGUGGUGGCUCACAUCUGUAAUCCCAGCACUUUGGGAGACCAAGGCGGGCAGAUCACUUGAGGUCAAGAAUUCAAGACCAGCCUGGCCAACAUGAGUCUGGCUGGAGUGCAAUAACGCGAUCUCAGCUCACUGCAACCUCUGCCUCCUGGGUUCAAGUGAUUCUCCUGCCUCAGCCUCCCGAGUAGCUGGGACUACAGUUUCACACUGUCACCCAGGCUGGAAUGCAAUGGUGCAAUCUCAGCUCACUGCAACCUCCGCCUACUGGGUUCAAGCGAGUCUCCUGCCUCAGCCUCCUGAGUAGCUGGGAUUACAGGCGUGCGCCACCACAUCCAGCUAAUUUUUUUUUUUUUUAUUUUUAGUAGAGACGGUGUUUC
rnacentral:lncRNA from 1 species